GACGAACGCUGGCGGCGUGCCUAAUACAUGCAAGUAGAACGCUGAAGAGAGGAGCUUGCUCUUCUUGGAUGAGUUGCGAACGGGUGAGUAACGCGUAGGUAACCUGCCUGGUAGCGGGGGAUAACUAUUGGAAACGAUAGCUGAUACCGCAUAAAAUUGAUUAUUGCAUGAUAAUUAAUUGAAAGAUGCAACUGCAUCACUACCAGAUGGACCUGCGUUGUAUUAGCUAGUUGGUGAGGUAACGGCUCACCAAGGCGACGAUACAUAGCCGACCUGAGAGGGUGAUCGGCCACACUGGGACUGAGACACGGCCCAGACUCCUACGGGAGGCAGCAGUAGGGAAUCUUCGGCAAUGGGGGGAACCCUGACCGAGAAACGCCGCGUGAGUGAAGAAGGUUUUCGGAUCGUAAAGCUCUGUUGUAAGAGAAGAACGGGUGUGAGAGUGGAAAGUUCACACUGUGACGGUAUCUUACCAGAAAGGGACGGCUAACUACGUG
rnacentral:rRNA from 1 species